CUGGGAGGACCAUCUCCUAAGGCUAAAUACUCUCUAGUGACCGAUAGUGAACCAGUACCGUGAGGGAAAGGUGAAAAGCACCCCGGAAGGGGAGUGAAAUAGAACCUGAAACCGUGUGCUUACAAGUAGUCAGAGCCCGUUAAUGGGUGAUGGCGUGCCUUUUGUAGAAUGAACCGGCGAGUUACGAUUUGAUGCAAGGUUAAGCAGUAAAUGUGGAGCCGUAGCGAAAGCGAGUCUGAAUAGGGCGUUUAGUAUUUGGUCGUAGACCCGAAACCAGGUGAUCUACCCUUGGUCAGGUUGAAGUUCAGGUAACACUGAAUGGAGGACCGAACCGACUUACGUUGAAAAGUGAGCGGAUGAACUGAGGGUAGCGGAGAAAUUCCAAUCGAACCUGGAGAUAGCUGGUUCUC
rnacentral:rRNA from 1 species